GCCUACCCCUGGCGUAGUGGUUUGAGUGCUGGACUAUGACUCUGGAGACCAGGGUUUGAUUCCCAGCUCGGCC